rnacentral:misc_RNA from 1 species
GAUGAAGAACGUAGCGAAAUGCGAUACUUGGUGUGAAUUGCAGAAUCCCGUGAACCAUCGAGUCUUUGAACACAAGUUGCGCCCGAAGCCACUAGGCCGAGGGCACGCCUGCCUGGGCGUCACACGCCGUUGCCCCCCCAUCUACUCCUUCGGGAUUGCGGGGGGGCGGAUGAUGGCCUCCCGUGCGCCUAGCCGCGCGGUUGGCAUAAAUACCAAGUCCUCGGCGACGCACGCCACGACAAUCGGUGGUUGCGAAACCUCGGUUGCCCGUCGUGUGCGUUCGUCGCGCAUCGAGGGCUCGAAAAAAUGCUCGGCUCCGGCUGGGCUUUCAACGCGACCCCAGGUCAGGCGGGGUUACCCGCUGAAUUUAAGCAUAUCAAUAAGCGGAGGA